rnacentral:lncRNA from 1 species
CAUAAUGAAGUUGUCCACGGUGUCACUGUUAGGCCUGGUCUGUCUGUUGGGACUUCAGACAGUGUUGUGUAACUACUAUUCCUCGUACAACCCUAGCUAUGGACGCCAAGGACAGUCGAUGAAUGGUGGAUUCCUAGCCCUGAUCGGACUUCUGUUUAUUGUUUUUGUUUUGUUCGGAGCAAGUGACCAAGGAAAGAUAACUAUUAUAAACCAAACGUAUUCUUAAGGUUGAGAAUCUAUAGUGCCGGAUGAUUGUUGGUUAAUACUGGUUUUAUUCCUAUGAAGCAAGACAAGAUUGUUAUGUAUGCAUAUUAUCUUUGUAUUUUAUUGUAUGAAAUAUAAUAAAUAUUUUUGUUUGAACUUA